ACAGAAUAAUCUUUUGCAAAAUAACCAAAUGAUGAUACAAGAUAAUCAAAUGUUCAUUAUCUUAAACAUGGGAACCACAUAAUCCACAGCCUCUUUUCCUUAUUUGUCGCCAAACAUCCCGCAUAUUUCACAAUAUCUCUAACAUAGUAUAUUCCAUCACAACUUCAACCAUUCUAAACAAGGACAUAGUCCCCAGCAAAACCUAGAAGGAUAGUAGUCCUUUAAGUAGACCUCCCUGCUAAAACCAAUUAUGUAGAAACUGAAGGAACGACCACGAUGAGCCAUGGUGACACGUGUCACUGGCACCACAGAUAUGGUAUGCCUCUCACAUAUGACUCUGGCAGUGGGAGGUACAGAAGCCCUCUCUGCUAUUACUUCAGAAGAAAAUUUAUUAAGGAAGAAUGAGUCUGCAAAAAAAGGCUGGACUGCAUUGAUAUGCUUGAGUGUUGCACAACUGGACCCCUUUGGCUCUGUGAAAAACCUCGUCUGGAACUGAUGCUGCUCCACUUGUUGCACUAACUUUUCGAGUUGAAAGUGUUUUCCUAUUAACAGCAAGAAUUUAUAUACAUUAUAAUUGUAAUGAUUUGAACCAGGUGCAAACAUAAACCUACACUUACAAUGCUACUUAUAGACAUGCAACAGUUAAAAAAACACUAUACAUCUCUUUCCUUAAUAGAGCAACUCGCAUGGUGAAGGCACUCCGGUAGUUCCCUAGGGAAAUGCUAUUCAAAGAAUCCCAAAGAUCCAGACAAAUUCACAAGAUGGGCAGUAACAAUUUCAAUUUUCCAUCAUUUGAGAUAAUCAGGAAGUGUGAGAUCUAAUGAAGAUAGCAUUACUUUAUCAUUCAUAAUUAAAAAAUUAAUUUAUCAUUGCAGUUAAGUAAAUAAUAUUUUCUUUAUCUACUUUGCUGUUGCCUUCAAACGUUGUACAGCCAUCAACAGCAAGUACUAAACAUAGCAGAUACCAGUUCAGAAACAAGCAUAAUCUUAAUGAAAAGGGUACACAUACAAAUUCAGAACAUGAGUAUAUUAGGAAAACAGUAUAAAUACCAUCUAACAAUGGCAAUACUGCGCGUCAAAAGAGAGCCACUUCCUUGACAUUUCUGGCAUUUUAUCAGCCCACGAGAUCCACAAGUUGCACAAGGAAUCUUCCCCUUGCCAGAACAAUUUGUGCAUCUAUAAGAGAAACAUAUUGUAACAAGUCCAAACAAGAGACAUCAUCAGAACAUACAAAAUUCAUAAUAGCUAACUAGUUCCAACAUCAACAGUGAAGGUGCUAUAUGAAUUAUCAGACUUGGCUGUAAGAAUUGUCAGGCAAAUUCCCAAUUGGUGAUGUUUUAAAUCUAUUUAUGUGUACCAUCUAUUAGUAAUCAGUGCAGUGAAAUGUAUUUAUUAGAAGUUCCAACAAACAACACAUAGUUUGGUACUUAGAGCAGGAUACCACAUUAUGUCCAGAAUGAUGUCAUAGAAGGAAAGUAAAGUCAACAUAGCAACAACAUACAUUGUGUCAGAUCCAUCUCUGUGAGCAAUCAAACCCCUUCCACAGCAAGCAGGGCAUUGAGACAUCUGGUUCUCCUUAUAAAAUCCAGGCUCUUGAUUGGCAUUGCAUGUAAGACAGAUAAUAUUUCCCCUUCCUUCACAAUCUGUGCAUUUCUCAAUAAUUUCGGAAUGUGGAAUUCCAGCCUGCGUUUCUCUAUAUGGUAAAAAGAGAACAGGGAAUUGAGAUCUUAGAUCCAGUUCCCAGACACCAAGUUCAGGUCCCUUAUCCUUUCCAUCAAUAUUUCCACCAAGAUAAGCCUUUGUUUCUCUUAUGGUUUCUCUUUCCUCUAUAAAUGUGUCUAGAGUUCCAACAUAUACAUUGCAGUCUUCUACUGCAUGAAUCUUCCAAGUUCGAGCUGGACGGCUUCCCCAACAGCACCGAUGACCAACAUGAUCAAUGAGCAACUCCCGUAUCUCAACCUCAUCCAAUAUUUGGCCGCGAAAGUCGGUGGCUGUUCCUCCAUAUCCACCUUGAUAAACAAUGGCUUGCUCAUUAGGAUCAGGCUCGGGCGAACUGAUCAAGGCGGCAUGAAGCGAAGGUGGGUAGUAAUCGGAAGCAGCCGCCGAUCGAAUUUCUUCGACACUGACUUCAGUUCCUCCCAACGAAGCAGUGGGAAUUGCUGACCCAGUCCGACCCACGUACUGGUAUGAGCUCCACCUCUCACUUUCUUUCUCUCCCAAUUCACUUGCUUUCUCUGAAAGCAAAGGCUCCUCCAUUUUUGGUCUGCAAGGGUGUAAUUCAAAAUCAAGUAUUAAUAGAAGGAAAAUCCAAUUUCCUUCGCAAGGAAGGAAGAAAACCAAAGUCAAUUCAUAUAAUUGAG
rnacentral:misc_RNA from 1 species